UGAUUUCAAGUGAUAUUCCCAUCAUUUAAUUCAAGUGCUAAAGUUGGAAGUCUCAUUGUGAUUGAAUUGCUAGUAAGCGGCUAAGGUGCAAGCGGGUCAGGUUUUAAGAAAGAACACCGGGAAGGAAAGGCUAGUGAGGAAGCUUAGCGUGGACUUACUUGUGCUAGUAGGUAUAUGAAAGUCUCUUUUUGAAUUGCCGAGUUGAUGCCCAACUUGAAUUAAAUCGCCCUGUAUUUUGAGUUAGUAUGUAAUGGAACGGGUCGUCCAUAUUUUGAUUAACCUUGUUGGUCAAUGGCAAGUUGGGGUCUUCUUGUAAAUUAUGGUAGUUAAGACAACUCUACAAUAUUUUCAUGUAAG